UUUUAAAAAUUAUAAUAAUAACACGUUUUACGUAUAUUAGUAACCAUCUAACUAGUUAAAAAUGACCUGUGCAUUAUGAGGUGUUCAAUACAGUGGAUAUAAUAAAUACUCGUAUCUAAAGCAUAAAAGUGUAGUAUCUAAAAAAUGCGCAAGCCUUCGCGGAGGACAUCUUUUAGAGGUCCUGUUUGGGUCCUUCGUCUCUAUGGCAACAUCCUAAACACGGGACACUAAUAGCGGUUCAGUCACCAACCUCUCAAACAAGUACGCAGAGUUAAAAAAAAAAUCGAACAUAUCAACAUUACUGUUUAGGAGGCAGUAUCACGCGGACACAACCAGAUGUCGGUACAACAAGAAACCAGGUUUCCUCCAUUGCAAGAGUCGGAGAAGCAGGACAGAAGAUUUUCUUCAGGCAAUCCACGAGUUAAUGGGGAAAGUGAAAAGUGGGUUCCAAUUACUAUGCCCCGAGGGGCUGCGUUAAUGAAACAACUACGUGCUGUAAGUACCUCAGGUUGUCUCAGUACCUGGCCUGCCCAUGUGACCUCACAGAUUCUUCAGCAAAGGCAAAAGAACCUGUCACUGGGGUUGAAUCACGGCUUUGCUACCGAAGUUGGCGGCGUGAGGGGAAAGCCACGGUUCCUGCAGAUGCUAGAGCGUUACCUAAGGUUGGAACUGCAAGCCCUGAAUCCCCAUCAGCCCAAAGCUCAGGAGUGCAGACUGCAGGUGUACCGGGACGUUUUCGACUGCUUCAUCGAGGACCUGAAAACCUACAAGCCACUGCUGUCUGCCAUCAAAAACGAGUAUGAAGUUGCAUUAGCACAUAUGCAGGAUCAGAUCCGAGAGCUGGAGCCACUGCAAGCACAACUGGUCAUAGUGUCAGAGCAGUGUGAGCAGCGUGUCCUGGCCCUGCGUGAGCAGGAAAGGUCGGAGGUCAAUUCCCUCAAGCAAGAGGCUCAAUGUCUGCAGAACAUCAUUGAUGAAAUGAGGGAGCAGCAGGACAUUCUACAGACUCAGGUCCGUGUCCUGCAGAGGGAUUUGGCUGAUCAGUACCUGGCCUAUCGUCAGGAGCACGAGGCCCGCAGGCUGCUCAUUGCCGGCUCCGGCAAUGCGGGCCACAGGCCGGGGGAGGUCCAAAUGAAGCAGGAGAGCGACCCUGCUGAAAUGAAGCAGGAGCUGAAUGCGUGCCGCCGGGAUCUGACCCGGGUCCGAGUGGAGAUGGAGCGUCUGCGAGCUCAGUAUGCGGACAUGGUGCCACGCAGAGACUGGCAGGCUUUGCACUGCGCCCACCAGGAGAGCCAGCUGAGGCUGCAGACGCUGCAGACAGACUUCGAUCAGCUCAGGGCUGAGUACGAUAUGCUGUUAGAGGUGCACGGCCAGGCCGCACCGCAGCGGGGCCGCCUCCAGAGGGAGCCGAAGAUGCUGCAGGAUGUUGUCGUCCCUCGUCCCCACCGGGAAGAAGGCACAGAUCUGCUCUUGGAGAACCAGUCCAGCCAGCAGCUGAAGGGGAUCCUCCUGGAGAAGCAGGGACGGAGGACGGCAAACCCAGACAUGGAGGAGCUCUUCACUGACCUGGUACUCGCCACAAGCUGCUUCUCAGCCAUGAACAGAAAGCACCAGCAGCACUGGAGUGACACUCGACUCCGUUGUGGGUUUUAUCCAAAGGGACUUACAGCUUUAACCAUUAAUCCAAUUGGAUAUUGGAUUUGGGUAGUUUGCCUUUAAACAAGGUCCUACAGAAAAACCAAGAAAGCUCUGGAUCCACAUCCUUAACUCCUACACUGCUCUGUUCCCCUUGAAUAUGAAUGAUCGCCAGGUGAAAUGUGUAAGUUUCUUUGGAUAACAGAAUCAUUGGUACAUUGAGUCUAACCCAGAAGGCACUGGGCACAAGGCAGGGGGGACCCAGGAUCCCAUGCCACUGCAUCACAGGCACAGUCUUCUAGAGAAACCAGUCGACGGAGAGACCUUAUCUCUGGGCUGUAAGGGGAGGUGCAGCGGGCAGAGGAACCCCACACUAACUUGGAGAGAACAUGCAAAACCCACCCACAGCUCUGGAACUGUACAGCUUCUGCACUAACCACGGAGCCAGCACACCAUUCCAAGAAUGAGAUAAGCGAAAAAAUGUGAAUGUGAGGCUCGCAGCACCUCUGGGCUACAGGCACAGAAGUGACUCGGAGAUUCAUGAAGGGCCACUAAAGCUGUCAGAGUCAGACACUCCACUGACUCAGCUACUCAGGAAUCAUGUCAUAUCUGACAUGUGAUGCUCAAUCUGAAUGGGAGCUCAUUCAUGAGCCAAGCCAUUCAGUUAGUAUUCAUGCCUUUGAGUCUCCAGUUGAUGUGGCGCGUUGCUUGUUUUUGAGAAGUAGAGCUCCCUCUACUGCCCAUCCGGGGUACUGCAGACAGUGUUCCUCUCCACCUGCCGUUUAAGGGGUAGCUGAAGAAUUUCAAGCUUGAUUUACCAGAUUUAGUGAACAACCUACAAGUGGUCUGGAAAGCUGGAAAGCCACUGCAGAUGAGGAGGGAGGAAAGGAUCAAGCUGCUGGAGACACAGGGAGGAGCACUGGGCCUACAGCCUGGUGGAGGCCUUCUGCAGACACAGGGAGGAGCACUGGGCCUACAGCCUGGUGGAGGCCUGCUGCAGACACAGGGAGGAGCUGCUGCAGACACAGGGAGGAGCACUGGGCCUACAGCCUGCUGGACGCCUGCUGGAGACACAGGGAGGAGGGCUGGGCCUACAGCCUGCUGGACGCCUGCUGGAGACAUAGGGAGGAGCACUGGGCCUACAGCCUGGUGGAGGCCUGCUGGAGACACAGGGAGGAGCACUGGGCCUACAGCCUGAUGGAGGCCUGCUGGAGACACAGGGAGGAGCACUGGGCCUACAGCCUGGUGGAAGCCUUCUG